UACAGAGGUCUCAAGCGUUGUUCGGAUUCAUUGGGCGUAAAGGGCGUGUAGGCGGUUUGUUAAGUCAUGUGUGAAAUCCCCCGGCUCAACUGGGGAACUGCAAGGGAUACAGCGGGGGCUUGAGUUCGGGAGAGGGAAGCGGAAUUCCGGGUGGUAGCGGUGAAAUGCGUAGAUAUCCGGAGGAACACCGGUGGCGAAGGCGGCUUCCUGGACCGAUACUGACGCUGAGGCGCGAAAGCUAGGGGAGCAAACGGG
rnacentral:rRNA from 1 species